rnacentral:rRNA from 1 species
AGAGUUUGAUCCUGGCUCAGAUUGAACGCUGGCGGCAGGCCUAACACAUGCAAGUCGAGCGGUAGAGAGAAGCUUGCUUCUCUUGAGAGCGGCGGACGGGUGAGUAAUGCCUAGGAAUCUGCCUGGUAGUGGGGGAUAACGUUCGGAAACGGACGCUAAUACCGCAUACGUCCUACGGGAGAAAGCAGGGGACCUUCGGGCCUUGCGCUAUCAGAUGAGCCUAGGUCGGAUUAGCUAGUUGGUGAGGUAAUGGCUCACCAAGGCGACGAUCCGUAACUGGUCUGAGAGGAUGAUCAGUCACACUGGAACUGAGACACGGUCCAGACUCCUACGGGAGGCAGCAGUGGGGAAUAUUGGACAAUGGGCGAAAGCCUGAUCCAGCCAUGCCGCGUGUGUGAAGAAGGUCUUCGGAUUGUAAAGCACUUUAAGUUGGGAGGAAGGAUUGUAGAUUAAUACUCUGCAAUUUUGACGUUACCGACAGAAUAAGCACCGGCUAACUCUGUGCCAGCAGCCGCGGUAAUACAGAGGGUGCAAGCGUUAAUCGGAAUUACUGGGCGUAAAGCGCGCGUAGGUGGUUUGUUAAGUUGGAUGUGAAAUCCCCGGGCUCAACCUGGGAACUGC